rnacentral:rRNA from 1 species
GACGAACGCUGGCGGCGUGCUUAACACAUGCAAGUCGAACGGAAAGGCCCUGCUUUUGUGGGGUGCUCGAGUGGCGAACGGGUGAGUAACACGUGAGUCACCUGCCCUUGACUUUGGGAUAACUUCAGGAAACUGGGGCUAAUACCGGAUAGGAGCUCCUGCUGCAUGGGGGGGGUUGGAAAGUUUCGGAGGUUGGGGAUGGACUCGCGGCUUAUGAGCUUGUUGGUGGGGUAGUGGCUUAACAAGUCUUUGACGGGUAGCCGGCCUGGGAGGGUGACCGGCCACAUUGGGACUGAGAUACGGCCCAGACUCCUACGGGAGGCAGCAGGGGGGAAUAUUGCACAAUGGGCGGAAGCCUGAUGCAGCAACGCCGCGUGCGGGAUGACGGCCUUCGGGUUGUAAACCGCUUUCGCCUGUGACGAAGCGGGAGUGACGGUAAUGGGUAAAGAAGCACCGGCUAACUACGUG